AUUCAGCCGACGAGUCCCAAAUAGGACAAAACGCGCGUCAAAAU
rfam:Schistosoma curassoni strain Dakar, Senegal genome assembly, scaffold: SCTD_scaffold0000924